CAUUAAGGGAGGACCCGCACCCCUCUCCUUGAUGGAUGAAAUGGACCGGGCCGGCGCGGGGGGGGGACGUCACAAUGCGCCGUCGCCACAAAGCUCCGCUCAUUUGGCUCCCAGCAUGCCGCCCGUCCGGAGGGACCACCGCCUAAACCCCGCGGAGCCCACCCUGCUGCCCCCGCGGAGGAGAAACUGCAGAAAUGAAAAUGAAGAUAUCCUCCGACCUCCAGGUGCACCCAGGAGGGUUUCUGCAGAAGAGCGGUGUGUUUUGCAGGCCAGAGGGGUUGUCUGUUAUCUUUGGUUAUCUAGCUGUAUGAGUGACGUACAUUCUUCAUAAAGCUAGAUAACCGAAAGUAACAAGAAUCCCAUUACAUGCCUGCGCUGGAAGCUGAGAACAAAAACAAUAACAAAACAGAGCGAAGCGGCAAACCUGACUGAAGACACAGCUGCUAACAAAUAACACAAAGGUUUUCCGAUUUGAAUGAAGUUUCGGGUCAUGACAUUUGAAAGACGGCACCAGAGCGACGUCACCAACCUGGAGAAGGAAGGCCUCCUUCAGGCGGACGGUUCAGACAGUCAGKUGGGACAGCUGCUCUGACGUUUGUGCCUGUGAGCAUCGUCUCCUGAACGAUGACAGAAAAUACAAGAACUUUGUACCUUGGUCAUCCCAAGGUUAAAAACCAGAGCGAAGGAGAAAACACUUCGUGUUUUAAGUUGCUGCUCUGCACAGCCGUUCAGGAAACAUCUGCAUUAGAUUUUUAAUGUGGGUCAGAACCGAGAUGAUCUCUUUACUUCUCACGCACACAUUUAGCCCAGAUUUAUGUAUAUCAAUGUAAAUAAAUUCUAAAACACCGGGAAAAUCAAUAGAUAUUUUAGAAAUCACGAUUUCAAAAUGUUUCUUUUUAGCUAAAGAAAUUCAAUUUGUCAAAAUUAUGUGGUCCAGUUAUAAGAAACGUUCAAUUUUGUGUUAUUACAAUCACUUCUUUUCACAUUUUUCCUUUUUAUGUUUCAAGAUUAUGUUUUUGUUAAUGGAUUUUUGUUACCCAGAGUUGUUUGGAAACCUUACAAUAGUUGUUGCAAUGCUUGAAAUUUUUAAUUUAAAAAAAUGUACCAGUAUGAUAAGACUGGAGCAACCUCAGCAGUCUUUUACAAUCUUUAUUUUGCACACACUGUUUAMAUUUGUCUAUGCAACAGAAAAUAUGAAGUUGGUGUAAAAUUAGCAGGUUUGCACCGAAGCGUUGUGAAGUUUGCACGUUGGUCGAACAACUUACAGGUUGAGUGUUAUUAACGCACUAUAAAACAUUGUAUAUGAGCACAGUGCAAUGUUGUACAAAGAUGUUUUCAUCAUGUGAGCAGAAAUGAUUAUUACAAUCAUUAAUGGAUGAUUGCAUUCAUUUGAGUUAAUCAUAAUUUGCACUAAAAACUUAAAUUUAUGAUAGUUAAUAUUUUUACUGUUUCAUCUUCUUACAGCUAUUUUUGAUGCAACACAUGAGAAAAUGUGCAAUAGAUUAUCAGUAAAUAAAAGCUGUUAAGAGAGAAUAACGUUAUUUUGUGAAACAGUCAAAAGUCUUUGCACAUAAUCUAAUUUCUUCUAUGCAACUGUUUUAUUAAAAUUUUGUUCUUUGUGGGUUAAAUAUAGAAUAAAUGAAUAUGUAAACACUGUACAUUAUUUUUUAAAUUGGUUGAAUAAUUGUAAAACAAUAUGUACUUAAAAAUAGAGUAAUUAAUUGUCAUAUUUUGUUUGGAAAUUGUGAAACUGUCUGUGUACUUUUGACAUUUCUUUUCAUGCUUGUUUGAAAAUGAGACUUAAAUUGUGAAACUUGUCAAAAAGUAUUUUUAAUUGUAAAAAAAAAAAAAGAAUAAAUGGUAUAUAUGGUAA